GACCAAUUCACCGCUUCCUGUACAUUCAUCGAAGUUAAGCAACGUCGAGCCUGGUCAGUACCUAGUUGGGCGACCGCGUGGGAAUAGCAUGUGCUGGAAU